rnacentral:rRNA from 1 species
AUACGGAGGGGGCUAGCGUUGUUCGGAAUUACUGGGCGUAAAGCGCACGUAGGCGGACUGAUCAGUUGGGGGUGAAAUCCCAGGGCUCAACCCUGGAACUGCCUCCAAUACUGUCAGUCUUGAGAUCGGAAGAGGUGAGUGGAAUUCCUAGUGUAGAGGUGAAAUUCGUAGAUAUUAGGAGGAACACCAGUGGCGAAGGCGGCUCACUGGUCCGAUACUGACGCUGAGGUGCGAAAGCGAGGGGAGCAAACAGGAUUAGAAACCCGAGUAGUCC